rnacentral:rRNA from 1 species
UACAGAGGUCCCAAGCGUUGUUCGGAUUCAUUGGGCGUAAAGGGUGCGUAGGUGGCACUGUAAGUCGGGUGUGAAAUCCUGAGGCUUAACCUCGGAACUGCAUUCGAUACUGGCGUGCUUGAGGACUGGAGAGGAGACUGGAAUUCAUGGUGUAGCAGUGAAAUGCGUAGAGAUCAUGAGGAAGACCAGUGGCGAAGGCGGGUCUCUGGACAGUUCCUGACACUGAGACACGAAGGCCAGGGGAGCAAACGGG